UUUCGUUUUUUUGAAAAAGCCAAGUUUUGUGGAUUUUUGCAAAACAACGCUGUACUCACACGCAUAUUUACAUCACCUUCGAAACGUAGAGUAUGAAACCAUGGCGACUGAAGAAGGUUUUUUUCCUUGUGUUAUUUGUCCUGUACUCUAUUUUCUUUGUUGUUUAAAAAAAAUGUCAAUUCCUUUGGUUUGUGUCUAUGUUUUCGUUUCUCAUGGUGUUCGACGUUUUUUUGGUGUCCUGUACUCAUAUAUGCGUGUAUAUAUACAUGUAGGGGUAGGUACGUACAUAUAUGUAUAUAUAUAUGCAUAUGUUUUAUUUAUUAAUAUAUUAUAUAUAUAUGCAUAUACGAGGAGGAGGAGGACCCCACCUUCGUGUCAUGAAUAUACAUGAGAUAGAACCUAGAAAUUACCCUCCGGGGCAAAAUCCGGGGAAGGUUGUUUGUGGAAGGCCAGCAGUCGUCCAUGCAUUCCACCCUUCUCUCUCCACGCCACUCAUUUCUACAGCUGAGUUAACUGCUGCAGCGUGAAAUAAAGUGUCUUGCUCAAGAACACAGCACGCGGCCCGGUCUACGAAUCGAACUCACAACCUCACGAUCGUAAGCUCGAGGCUCAAACCACUGAGUCAUUCACACUAAUCUCUCUCUCCCUCUCUCUCCCUCUCUCUCUCUAUAUAUAUACAUAUAUGUAUGUAUGUACAUAUAUUGUUACGAAAAUGUGUUUUUCUUGGGAAGAAAACGAAAUAGUGGACUUCGUUUGGGCUUGUAGAUUCGAACCCGAAUCUAUAGAACACCCUUCAAUGUUACAACGGUAUUUUCAUGCAGAAAAUACGUUGGCUGGCAGCAGUGGCGCUCAAUACAUGGCCUUCCAAUCUGAUUUAUAUAUUUUAUACUUGACCCUUGUGACCCGUUCUAUGCCACAUCAUGCGGAAAAUAGAUAAGAAUCACACACAGCAGUUUUUCUCCCCCCAUUGUUAUCAGCGAUAUGUCUCUUCUUCUCGCUGUUCUGUGACAAUUAUAAAUACUAAAAUCCCGCAAGGAUUAAUAGUUGAUCAAAGGGCUUUGUGCGAUAAAGACCACCACAGACGACUAUAACACAAUUUUCACCAGCUGACAUUUCAAUAGCAAAUGUCAUUUUAUCUGUCUCUGCUGCUGCCUAUCACCUUUUAAGGGCUUACUACUGCAAAUGACAUACACAGUAAACACACAACACUAGAAGAUAGAGAUAUCCCUUUUGUUUUGACUGGCUUAUUGAGAAUUUGAACUCUGAUAUUUUGUGACGAGUUUGUAUCUCCAGCACUUGAUUUGCUACCAACAAGGACUGACUAACUCUAAUGUUUUGUGACGGCUUUGUGCCGAGAAUUCUAAUAUAUUACGACAGCUUUCGCUGAAUUCCAUGUAAGUUUGACACUUCUUUCUCAGUGUAUAACUGAAUUAUUAUGGACUUGUUUCUUCUAUUUGCUGUUUCCUUUUGUCUAACCGUAACAACAUUGGAGGCUCCUCCGAGAUAUCGAAUUCAUUUUGAUAUUCAGAGAUACUUUGUAAAAAAAAAAAAAGAAAAAUCAUCAGAAAUCCAUCUUAUUUUUCUGCAUAAUCUUUCUUUCCCUUUGCAAACAUAUUAACUGAAACCAAAAAAAGAUAAAUAAAUAAAUGAAAAAAGAAAAUACAAUCUUGUAAAUUAGAGGAUUUUCUUAAAUCUCCCACCCUUGCGCAAAUCGGAUCUAUUGUAAAUUUCUGCACAUUUCCAACUUGAGGCUAAACCUGUUACGAUGAAAUUUCAGAUUUUAGAAAUUGCUUUGAAUCACUUCGUGGAUGAAGGGGGUCUUCGGAGUCGAUGUUUUGGAGAAUGUAAAUGAAGAACAUUCCGACCAUGGGGGAAAUAAAAUGGCUUGAGGUUCAAUUGGAACGGAAAAAAUUAGCAAAAGAAAUUGACUUUACAAAGAUUGAAAUUGAAAGGUAAACUGAGCUUAAAAAGUUGGAAACUUCUUUUCCUCCCUCACACCCAUCCCGUUUCGAAGUUGCGAGACAUGCCAGACCGGUUCCCACUUUGAAUGAAAGAGAGGGGGACAAGUAUUUUCUACAUUUUGAAGAAAUUUGUUGGAAACCUGAAGUGGUCUAAGGAGUCAUGUGAGCCGUGAAGCUCAGGCCACAUUUUCGGCCUUAUGUGUAGAGCAAAGUUCAGAUUACGAUCUGGUUAGGAUGCCCCUUCAAAAAGCCUAUGUGUUCGUGCCCGAAGCUCAUCGAUAAAAAUUUAGGAAUGCUUAUAACAGGGACCCUCUUUACACUUUACUCUUUUACAUGUUUCAGUCAUUUUGACUGUGGCCAUGCUGGAGCACCGCCUUUAGUCGACCAAAUCGACCCCAGGACUUAUUCUUUGUAAGCCUAGUACAUAUUCUAACGGUCUCUUUUGCCAA
rnacentral:lncRNA from 1 species